UACGUGAGGGUCCGAGCGUUGUCCGGAGUUACUGGGCGUAAAGCGCGCGCAGGCGGCUUCAUAAGUCUGGCGUGAAAAGCCCCCGGCUCAACCGGGGAGGGUCGUUCGGAAGACUGUGGAGCUUGAGGGCGGUAGGGGCUGGUGGAAUUCCCGGUGUAGUGGUGAAAUGCGUAGAGAUCGGACAGGAACACCCAGGGGGAGACCGAGCCGACUGGGCAUCGUAGCUGACGCUGAGACGACGAAAGCGGUGGGGAGCAAACAGGG
rnacentral:rRNA from 1 species